CAAAACAUAACUUAACUCUAAAGCCCCUUGCUUACACCAAGAAAAUGUCAAUUAACCACUGACUGUUUUGAAA
rnacentral:tRNA from 1 species